UACGUAGGGUGCAAGCGUUAAUCGGAAUACUGGGCGUAAAGCGUGCGCAGGCGGUUGUGCAAGACAGAUGUGAAAUCCCCGGGCUUAACCUGGGAAUUGCAUUUGUGACUGCACGGCUAGAGUGUGUCAGAGGGGGGUAGAAUUCCACGUGUAGCAGUGAAAUGCGUAGAUAUGUGGAGGAAUACCGAUGGCGAAGGCAGCCCCCCUGGGGAUAACACUGACGCUCAUGCACGAAAGCGUGGGGAGCAAACAGG
rnacentral:rRNA from 1 species